rnacentral:rRNA from 1 species
UACGUAGGGGGCAAGCGUUGUCCGGAUUUAUUGGGCGUAAAGAGCGUGUAGGCGGCUUUACAGGUCCGUUGUGAAAACUCGAGGCUCAACCUCGAGACGCCGGUGGAAACCGUAAAGCUAGAGUCCGGAAGAGGAGAGUGGAAUUCCUGGUGUAGCGGUGAAAUGCGCAGAUAUCGAGAGGAACACCGGUGGCGAAGGCGAGUCCCUGGACAACACCUGACACUGAGGCACGAAAGCUAGGGGAGCAAACAGG